ensembl:lncRNA
AUGGAGCAGUUAAACGUAAGGAUAAAGAUACACCUGAAUUUCAGUGUCAAAAGCAAGACAGUAAAGAACUCACUCGACGUUCAGAACGUCCGCAUAUGCCCACGGAGAAAAUGCUUGCUUAUCGGAAAGAUGAAUGCUGUAAGAAAGAAAAAAAAAUUAACCACUCUGUAUGAGCAGUGGAAGUUAGAAGCUCGUAAAGCAAGGCAGAACUUAAAAACUGACAUAACUGAUAAACAGCUGGCUGAAAUGGCUGACUCUCUUGAGGACAAAAAGAAUAAUAUUCUGAAACUCUUCAGUGACAUAAGGGAAUAUGUUACACCUACUGCAGAUUUAAGACGUAAAGAAGAAGCCUACAAAGAUGCUUGGGACAAGCUUAACCAAAGGUACGGCCAGCCCUUUGUUAUUCAAAGAGCGUUUCGGGAAAAGCUGUCUAAGUGGCCUAAAAUACAGUCCAAAGAUGCUGAAGGUCUGAGAACAUUUUCAGACUUCUUAAAUGCCUGCUUGCAAGCCAUACCUCACGUUAAAGGUCUGGAAAUAUUAAAUGACUGCGAGGAGAACCAGAAGCUGGUCCAAAAACUUCCUGACUGGGCAGCUUCCCGAUGGAACCGCCAGGUCACAACAGCCCUCAUGGAUCGCAAAGAGUUUCCAAAUUUUCAUGACUUUGUCAAUUUCAUGUCUACAGAGGCAGAAAUUAUGUGCAAUCCCAUCACGUCCUUACAUGCUCUUCAUUCUCGUGAAUCACCUCAAGAGAGAAGAAUCUUAAAGGAAACCAAAGGAAACAGAGCAGUUGUCUUUAAGACUCAAACAAGUGUAAACAAUGAUAGACAAACAAUAGUUAACGAACAGUUAAAAGCACAGUGCAUGUUGUGUCAAGAUGACAAUCAUCAACUUCAUAAGUGCCUGAAAUUCAUGGAAAAGUCUCUGAAAGACAGAAGGGCCUAUGUUAAGGAUAACAAACUCUGUUAUGGAUGUUUAAAACCAGGUCACUGUGCUAAGGAGUGUCGUCAUCGACACACAUGUGAUGUAUGCAAAUUACGACAUCCCACGUGUCUUCAUGAUUACAGCUACGACAAGGACAGAAAUAGAGAACGACCAUUGCCCAUGGUAAGCAAUGUGCAUGCACUUGAAAGUGAAACUACUAAUGCCAUGUCACUUAAUAUCACAAGUGAAGGUCAGUCAGUCAUUACAUCUUUGAUCGUACCUGUAUGGGUGUCGUCAGUUAAAAAUCCUUCCAAUGAACAGCUUGUGUAUGCUUUGCUAGACACACAGAGUGACACUACUUUCAUUGAUGAAGAAAUCAGUAAUGCACUGCAAGUGGCCAGUCACCCAGUGAAACUCAAACUAACCACCAUGGUAGGAGACAGUGUGAUCAUUAAGAGUAAAAGAGUAUCUGAUCUUCGUGUAAGAGGUUACAAUUCAUCAGUACAUAUCAGUCUUCCUCCAGUCUAAACAAAGGAGUGUAUUCCUGUUAAUCGUGAUCACAUACCACUCAGGAUACAGCAGAGACCUGGAGUCAUCUGAAGGUAAUUACAGACAAAAUGCCACCACUUCUCAGUUGUGAAGUAGGUUUACUAAUCGGCUAUAACUGCCCCAGAGUGCUAGCACCGAGGCAAGUCAUACUAGGUAAGGAUGAGGAAACAUAUGCUAUUCUAACAGAUUUAGGAUGGAGUAUUGUGGGUUGCUCCGCACCAAGUAUCAAUGAAUCAAUAGGAUUCACUCUUUGUCACAGAAUAGCCACAAAGGAGAUACCAGCUUUGACACCUGUGGAUGCAGUUCGUAUACUCGAGUCAGACUUUAAGGAUGUCACAGCAGAUGACAAGACAGUUUCUCAAGAGGAUAUCAUGUUCCUAAACAAACUCAAAGAAGGAAUAAAGAAAAAUGCCUCUUCCAUUUAAGCAGCGACCAUACUUGCCUGACAACAGAGAACUUGCAGUAGUCAGACUCAAUCAUUUGAACAAGAAAUUCUGUAAAAAUGAGAAAUACAAGACAGACUACGUUACUUACAUGAAUGACAUCAUUGACAG